CUACACUGCAGGCCUGCGCCCACAUACACGCCCGUGAAGAGGAGGAAGAGGACGAGGAAGAGGAGGAUGAAGAUGUUCAAAUGACAAGACGAGCUGCAAGCUGUCAUUUUCGUCACAGCUAUUUGCUGAAUGUAGCAUCUUCACACACACGCACACGCACGCACACAGCCACAAGAUAUUUCAAUAUUGAUUAUUGAAUAGUUUUCAACACACACCGGAGGCUUGACUUGUUCUCGGCGCGCAAGCCAGGCCUGCGCCAGUGUCAACGUGUCAUCAUCCACUCGCUCUCCCCACAGAUUUCCACGCAGGGGAAGGAAGAGCUUUGCGGUUGUUCUGGUCACCCAAAGUUGGAUUUCCUUCAGCCGGAUUUCUUCGUUGUUUUUUUUUCUGGAGGAAAGCAGGAGUUUGCCGACAAACAAACGGAUGCAAUUAAAUUCACUGCCAUCAUCACAGAGGAGGCAAGGGGGGAGAAGGAUGCACAUGCACAAGUCAAGGUUGGCUGAAGGAGAAAAGGUCAACUCACAAAGACGCCAAAGUCAACUCAAAGUUCAGCCUUACUCUAAGCGAGGUGUGUAUUACACUGCGAAAGGCCAACGGUUACCUAGUGAAUUUAGUUUAUUUCCAGUGAAAACAUCUUCUUAUUUUAAGACAAUGUUGAUGUUUUUCUAAAUUUUUGGAAAGACAAAAAGACAUGUUAUGAUUCAAGAUCUUAUUUUAAGAAUCUUAUCAAGGCAAUUCAUAUAAGUUCAAUUGGCAGAUCUUUUCCCCACUUAUUUUAGAGACAAAACGGCUUGUUUUUAAUAUUGUUUUACUCGUUUUGAGAAAGUCAUUUUUUCCACUGUAUGGAUGAACCAAUAAAUUUUUUUCAGACCAAGUACGAGUAUAAGUACCUACAUUUGAGUACUAGCCAAUACCAAGUACUGUACUAUGCCAUCAUGUCUUGAAAAUGUGUUUUAUUUUAAUAAAAUAUUGUUCAAAACACCAAUUUUUAUUCAACAUGGUUUAAAUUCCCCUCAAAUACUUUCUUAAUUAUCAGAGGUGGGACCAAGUCAAUGCUUUGCAAGUCACAAGUAAGUCUCAAGUCUUUGCCCUCAAUUCCCGAGUCAAGUCGCGAGUCAAAACAAGCAGGUCCCGAGUCAAGUCGCAAGUCCCACACUUUGAGUUUUGAGUCCUUUCGAGUUAUUUUACCAACAAAAUAAAAUAUGUUUUAAUAUAUAAAAUAUGUACAUUUAAUGUGUAUAUUAUAUACUGAAUUCAUAUAUGUAUUAUAUUUUAAAAUCCAUAAGUAUUUAUCAAAACAAAUUUGAUAAACAAGUGCAUUGAACCUUAAUAAGAAAACUAGGGGGCUGAUCAAAAGUUUAUUGCCCCUUCAAAACCGAUUGAUAGUAUGUUUUCAGUUAUUCAAUUGUAAUUUUCUCACUUUAUUUCUGAAGCGACAUUAAACAGACCUGUCACAAAUGCAAAUUUGCAUCCAGUAGUGCUGCAAUUAGUAAUCGAGUAUUCUCGUGACAUUUCUAUCGGAAUAAUCAAGUUUAAGGAUAAAAUAUAUUUUUCUUUCUUGGUGAAAGAGCAAUUACGAAUACGCAAAAGAAAAUGAAACAUUUCACUUAAUAAUGAACGACCAAUUGGUUUCCUCUUUUAGAUAAUCAACAGUAUUUUUCUUAAAUUCACAUUCACAUCUUCAAACACAAAUAUAGAUUGAUUACAGUUUAAAUUCGGCAUUUCUUAUGAGUAUCAAACACAAAGCAUUCAUUGAACAAAAAGAUGAACACAAGUUUGUCAUCUUGUUAUAAAGGUACAAUUUUAUCCAACUGUGGUAUCUCAGUCGGAACACUAGGGGACACUACGUAAAAAUAUUACGUCCAAAAGAGGCAAAGAAAAGGGCACGAAGAAGAAUGUAGUUUCAUAUUGAAUAGAUGCUAGCUGUGUGCUGAUCGAUUGGUAAAUAACGUGAAUAAUUAAAAAAAAAUAGUACAAGAGCGAUUCUUGAGAACACUACACUGACUAAACCAGACUGUAAUGUACAGGAAGCCCAGACAGCGCACAGCCCGCCAUGUAACUAUUUGUGUGAUCGCUCACAAAGCUAGCUGCUAAUGCUAACGAAAACAAGCAUACGUGACGUCAUGCUGUAAGAUUCCCACAAUGCAAUGUGUAUUUUUCUUUUGUUUGCAAUAAUUUACCUCCUUAUUGUUACAUUAAAUGUCGUUGUCGUUUCUGUAUACUAUGUUAACAGUGGUUCUUGGAACCUUUUUUAGCUGUCACAUUUAUUGUUGACUUAUGUUUUACUGUUUUUUGUUGUCAAUGAUGCUGUAGUGGUACACUUGCCGGACUUUGGUGCGGGCAGUGUGGGUUCAGUUCCUACUCAGUGACGGUGUGAAUGGUUGUCUGUCUCUAUAUGUGCCCUGCGACUGACUGGCGACCAGUUCAAGGGUGUAGUAUGCCUUUCGCCCAAAGUCAGCUGUGAUAGGCUCCUGUGACCCUGAACAGGAUAAGCGGUGUUUAGA